rnacentral:rRNA from 1 species
UACGGAGGAUGCAAGCGUUAUCCGGAAUCAUUGGGCGUAAAGCGUCCGCAGGUGGCUGCUCAAGUCGGCUGUCAAAGACAGUGGCUCAACUACUGAAAGGCAGUGGAAACUGAACAGCUAGAGUGCGGUAGGGGUAGAGGGAAUUCCCGGUGUAGCGGUGAAAUGCGUAGAGAUCGGGAAGAACACCAGUGGCGAAAGCGCUCUGCUAGACCUGCACUGACACUGAGGGACGAAAGAUAGGGGAGCGAAUGGG